GGUUGUGACUCAGUGGUAGAGCGCUUGCCUAGCAUGUGCAAGGCCCUGGGUUCAAGUCUCAGCACCA
rnacentral:tRNA from 1 species